rnacentral:sRNA from 1 species
UGAUGUCAUUCCGGUUACCUUUUUUAU